rnacentral:pre_miRNA from 8 species
CGUUUUAAGAAAAAAAAGUGGUAUUGUUUCGCGCGCGCCCGACGUGCAAAACCUGAACAAAUUAACGGGUUGUUUUGUUCGUUCGGCUCGCGUCAAAUUAUUACCGCAGUUCGACACAUUUUGAG